AUUGAACGCUGGCGGCAGGCCUAACACAUGCAAGUCGAACGAGUGGCGGACGGGUGUGUAAUGUAUGGGAAACUGCCUGAUGGAGGGGUAUAACUACUGGAAACGGUAUCUACUACCGCAUACCAUCAGAUGUGCCCAUAUGGGAUUAGCUUGUUGGUGGGGUAACGGCUCACCAAGGCGAAGAUCCCUAGCUGGUCUGAGAGGAUGACCACACACACUGGAACUGAGACACGGCCCAGACUCCUACGGGAGGCAGCAGUGGGGAAUAUUGUGCAAUGGGCGCAAGCCUGAUGCAGCCAUGCCGCUUGUAUGAAGAAGGCCUUCGGGUUGUAAAGUACGUUCAGCGGGGAGGCGUUACCCGCAGAAGAAGCACCGGCUAACUCCGUGCCAGCAGCCGCGGUAAUUC
rnacentral:rRNA from 1 species